rnacentral:misc_RNA from 1 species
GAUGAAGAACGUAGCGAAAUGCGAUAAGUAAUGUGAAUUGCAGAAUUCAGUGAAUCAUCGAAUCUUUGAACGCACAUUGCGCCCCCUGGUAUUCCGGGGGGCAUGCCUGUCCGAGCGUCAUUACAACCCUCAAGCUCAGCUUGGUGUUGGGCCCCGCCGCCCCGGCGGGCCCUAAAGUCAGUGGCGGGGCCGUCCGGCUCCGAGCGUAGUAAUUCUUCUCGCUCUGGAGGUCCGGUCGUGUGCUCGCCAGCAACCCCCAAUUUUUUUCAGGUUGACCUCGGAUCAGGUAGGGAUACCCGCUGAACUUAAGCAUAUCAAUAAGCGGAGGA